rnacentral:rRNA from 1 species
CAGUCGCCGCGGUAAUACGUAGGGUGCGAGCGUUAAUCGGAAUUACUGGGCGUAAAGCGUGCGCAGGCGGCUUUGCAAGACAGAUGUGAAAUCCCCGGGCUCAACCUGGGAACUGCAUUUGUGACUGCAAGGCUAGAGUGCGGCAGAGGGAGAUGGAAUUCCGCGUGUAGCAGUGAAAUGCGUAGAUAUGCGGAGGAACACCGAUGGCGAAGGCAAUCUCCUGGGCCUGCACUGACGCUCAUGCACGAAAGCGUGGGGAGCAAACAGGAUUAGAUACCCCAGUAGUCCCUGUCUCUUAUAC